CAACCCUCAAGCCCUAUCUGGGGCCUGGUGUUGGGGAUCGGCAGUGCCUAGCGCGCGCCGGCCCCAAAUUCCAUUGGCGGUCAUGCUGUAGCUUCCUCUGCGUAGUAAUAAGAACCUCGCAAUGGAGUGUUGCGUGGCCAUGCCGCUAAACCAUGCUAUAUAAGG
rnacentral:misc_RNA from 1 species